CUCAGAAGCCACGCCCCCUACCCAAAGGCCACGCCCCCCACAGAGAGGCCACACACCCCCAAGAGAGGCCACGCCCCCCGAGAGAGACCACGCCCCUGUCAGGUGCCGUCACUCAUAAGCCACGCCCCUCCCGGCAGGCCACGCCCCCCUCCUGAAAGGCCACGCCCCCAAUAGGCCACGCCCUCAACAGGCCACGCCUCCCCCCAAAAGAGGCCACGCCCUUGACAGGUGCCAUCACUCAUAAGCCACGCCCCCUGCCCACAGGCCACGCCCCCGAGAGGCCACACCCCCAAUAGGCCACGCCCCCCGCAGACCACACCCCUGACAGACCCCAUUACUCAUAAGCCACGCCCCCUCCAGGAAGCCUUCGCCCCUCUUCUGAAAGGCCACGCCCCCAGGAGGCCACACCCCCAAGAGACCACGCCCCCAGAGAGACCACGCCCCUGUCAGGUGCCGUCACUCAUAAGCCACGCCCCCCUCCCGAAAGGCCACGCCCCCAGGAGGCCACACCCCCAAGAGACCACGCCCCCCCAGAGAGAGACCACGCCCCUGACAGGUGCAGUCACUCAUAAGCCACGCCCCCUAACCACAGGCCACGCCCCCCUCCCGAAAGGCCACGCCCCCAGGAGGCCACACCCCCAAGAGGCCACGCC
rnacentral:lncRNA from 7 species